CGCUGAAACACUGUUUCCAGUACGAUCACCAAAGUUAAGCAACGCCGAGCCUGGCCAGUACCUAGAUGGGUGACUGCUUGGGAAUACCAAGUGCCGCGAG